AAUAUACACUUAUUGUUUUUCUUUGUCCUUCUGUUUAUUUAGACGCAUAAUAAAGGCGUGUUUGUGAUGUUCGCAGUGUCCUCGAAUGCAUCUCGCAGUCGUGUAGUGACAAUGAGGAAGUGUGGUUACGACGACGAAGGGACAAAAGACGCGUUUGUGAGUUGGAAAUACAUUUAUGUCGCUGGUAUUGCACCGCUGUUGAUGUAUUUCCAGUUAGAUUAAAGUUAUGAAAGAACGUCAGACUCUGUGUGACUCUGUGGGGAACUACACUGUGCUGCCGUCUGUCGUCAUCACAGUGAGACGUGGCUUGCUAUAAGGUGAGCAGACACACCUCAUAUUUUGAUUGGCGGCCUAACGAGCAGGAAAGUGCCACACUUUCACAGCAAAUGGGCUGAAGCCGGACUGUUUUCUGUAUCAAUCAAGCAGACAUUCCAAGGUGAAGGAAUUCUGUUGCUUUUGGAUCACGGCCAGCCAAGACGUGGCCUCGGCAAUGAGGCAAUCGGCCUUCUAUGAGCACUCAUUUUCCAGCGACUUCAACAGCACUAGUUGCAGAAUUACUGCUGCCCCCUCAUCCUCUUUGCCGAAGGACUCUUUUGCUGCUCUUUCCUCGAUUUCCAGACCAAAUUCCGAGACGAUUAAGUGCUGAUCAUGUGAUAAUGCAAUGUGGGGCGGCAUGGCUCAUGUGGUAGAGUGGUUCGAUCCUCCAUCCUCCUGUGAUUGUGUCGACGUAUCCGUGGGCAAGAUAGUGAACCCCCAGCUGCUCCUGCAUCAUCAGUAAGUAAAUGUGCUAACUGUGUCAAAAGAGCUCUGAGUGCCUUGCAGGUGGAAAAGUGCUACACAGGUGAAAAACCAUUUACCAACGCAUUCAAGCGCACUGGUAACCUUGAGUGUUUCAGACAUCACCGAUCAGAGGGUUCACCAUUUCACCACUGCGUCUAAGCGACUGGACAGCAUAUGCACAGACAAAGCAGCCACAAAGAAAAGCUUCCUUCCCGUCUUCCUAUGCUGUGUUCUGCCUUGGCGAGCAGGCAGAAUAGGCCGCUAUGCCCCAUGACAGAAAAAACCAACAAAGAAAGGGCCCUCACAUACCACACACGCUCACAUUUCCUUGUUUUCAUUUAAUUUGGUGGAAUACACAAAUCAAUAGUCCCACCGCAUAACUCACUAUGAUGAUUAAAUGUGAUUUUUCACACCUGUUGCAGAAAAAUAAUGUUAAUUGAUUAAAAGAGGCAGUAGAAAACUCACGCAUGCACAGGGAGAACAUGCAACGUGCACAGAGAUGCUCCAAAGGAGAUUUGACCCGUCCAUUUCCUGACUGGGGGAAUAUCAAAUAGGAGCAGGUAGCCCAGUGGAGCAUUGGGAUACCAAAAGGAAACAAGGAUGAAUGCAUGCUGGGCUAAAAACAGGGCAAAACAGUUUGGUCUUUAUCAUUCAAAGUGAUGCUUUUAACCCUUUCCGCUCCCUCUUCCUAACAUAACCCCCCUGUCCCCGGCCCUCUUCAUUCACAGAAGAGACAAUGGUAGCAGAGAGGAGGCCUGCGGCUGGCGAGAUAAAGACCAAACACAAGAACAAGUCCCCCUUUUCUCCCUCUAAUGGGAUUCGGCCCGUUUCCAUCACCCUACACAGAUGCAAAAUGGGUGAAAGUUGAUAAUUACGUAAAGUAACCUCCCCGCAUGUCAAUCAUAAAGGCUGUAGAUGAAUAACAAACACGUGAGCUCAGGUUGGACCUCGGCGUGUCAAUCAAGACGCUGAAUGCAUACAGCGCCGCUGUCAACAAGCGUCACGUUCUUAUGUUUGGCCUGGGGGACACUCAAAACCCAGGAAUUCCAGGACAAGCCCUUUGAUUAAAAGGCAAGAGAAGCAUGGAAAAACAGAACCUUGUGUCGGAAGAGUUGAGGAACACUUUAAUUGACACUGCAGAAUAAAAACUACAGUCUAUCAGACUUCAAGGAUGUUUAAUUUCAAACGUUAAUAUAUUUGUCUUUUCAGUCAACUAUUUCUCCAGCAUUGACACAAAAAUAAAUACUUUGUAUUAUAAAAUAAUAAACAUCCAAAUAAAUAUAUAAUUUUACAUUUGCACUAAGAAAAGUAGCAAUUAGAAAAUAAAGUUUUUAUAUAGGUCACUGUACAGUUGUACAAGCUGAAGGAUAACUAUGAACUGAGAAUUAAGAUCUACGUUCCAGUCAGUCAAUGUCACAUCAUCGUGUAAAUACAGUUCACUGGUCCGCAUUAGGUGGCAGGGGCCAGAAAACGAUUCACAGUUGGAAUUAUUCUAUGUACAAAAAUAAAGCAUCUUUUCUACUGCACAUAAAGUUAGUCAUUAGAAGUUUAUUCCGAUCAUUUAAGCCAAUUCAACAUUAAACUACAAUGGCACCCGGUAAAGUGCAGACCUCUGCCAUGGCCAGACUAUCCAAACUCGGAUCAGCACCAAAUUUCAGACCUUGUCGUGAAGAUUCAUGACUUAUGCACUAAAAAGGUUAAUAAAAACACAAAAUAUACAGUAACUGGUUCUUUUUUGCCCUGCGUUCAUGGAAGUUUCGUGUAAUCCUGAAAAGAAAAAUGUAUAGCUACAACACCUGGCAAUACUGAUAUGUGGCCACGUGCGUGAAAUCAAUCUGCAGGUCACAAUAGUCUGAGUGGGAGCACUUGUUUUGGUGUUGCUUCUUUUGCUUUCAAGUAUGACUUUUUAUCAACGGUGCCAGUCGUUCUGUUAUUCCGCUGUGACUACAGGACAAAAAACUGAAUUCAGUCCGACGCAAAACACACCAUUCACGUUGGCUUGCAUGCAGCCUCACAGUGGAUCGCUUUCUUGCACCGACAGCCGGGUCGUGUAGCUCGGUCGUAGCAGGUCUGACACAUGGUGACACAUCCUCUGGCUGGAAGGUAGCACAAAAGACACGGGAGGAUCACGGCGAUCAGUGAAACGGUGGCCCAGCGGAUGCAGCAGUGCGACUGCGUGCACGAGAAGGGCUUGUCCGUGCAUGUGUCCU